rnacentral:rRNA from 1 species
UACGUAGGGGGCAAGCGUUGUCCGGAUUUAUUGGGCGUAAAGCGCGUGUAGGCGGCCACACAGGUCCGCUGUGAAAACUCGAGGCUCAACCUCGAGCUGUCGGUGGAAACCGUGUGGCUAGAGUCCGGAAGAGGAGACUGGAAUUCCUGGUGUAGCGGUGAAAUGCGCAGAUAUCAGGAGGAACACCAGUGGCGAAGGCGGCUUUCUGGGCAUUUCCUGACGCUGAGACGCGAAAGCGUGGGGAGCGAACCGG